UACGAAGGGGGCUAGCGUUGCUCGGAAUGACUGGGCGUAAAGGGCGCGUAGGCGGUUUGGUCAGUUAGACGUGAAAUUCCUGGGCUCAACCUGGGGACUGCGUUUAAUACAUCCAGACUUGAGUGUGGAAGAGGGUUGUGGAAUUCCCAGUGUAGAGGUGAAAUUCGUAGAUAUUGGGAAGAACACCAGUGGCGAAGGCGGCUCACUGGCCCGAUACUGACGCUGAGGCACGAAAGCGUGGGGAGCAAACAGG
rnacentral:rRNA from 1 species